AAAGUGAAGGCAGCCUCGGGUUUUUUCUAAGUAGGAUCCUUUUUUUCUCGAGGAGAGGCGCACUACCGGCCCGUCUCGUCCGCGUCGCGGUGAGGCGGAGCGAGAGCGUACACGUUGGGACCCGAAAGAUGGUGAACUAUGCCUGAGUAGGACGAAGCCAGAGGAAACUCUGGUGGAAGUCCGUAGCGAUUCUGACGUGCAAAUCGAUCGUCGAACUUGGGUAUAGGGGCGAAAGACUAAUCAAACCGUCUAGUAGCUGGUUCCUUCCGAA
rnacentral:rRNA from 1 species